CACCGAUCUUGGAGCUACCGUGGUAAAUUUGGAAAUUGGUGUGCAAUCGUGGGUGUUUCAUUGUAAAAGUAACGUUUUGUCACUACAACUUGAUCAUUCGGGACAAAUUGUUUUAUGUGGUUUAAGAAAUGGAGCAAUUUGUUUUCUGCAUGUUCAUGUCUUGGAAUAAUUAUCAAUUUUUAAAUGGAGAUGACAACUCUCUUCCGGCUAUUAA